UACGAAGGGGGCUAGCGUUGCUCGGAAUCACUGGGCGUAAAGCGCACGUAGGCGGAUUGCUAAGUCAGGGGUGAAAUCCUGGAGCUCAACUCCAGAACUGCCUUUGAUACUGGCGAUCUCGAGUCCGGGAGAGGUGAGUGGAACUCCGAGUGUAGAGGUGAAAUUCGUAGAUAUUCGGAAGAACACCAGUGGCGAAGGCGGCUCACUGGCCCGGUACUGACGCUGAUGUGCGAAAGCGUGGGGAGCAAUAGG
rnacentral:rRNA from 1 species